rnacentral:hammerhead_ribozyme from 1 species
AUCCAGCUGACGAGUCCCGAAUAGGACGAAACACUAAUCCUAGAU